GUGGGACCAGAUGUGCCUGAAUCUGCACACGGGGUGCAGGGAGUAAAGUGAGUACUCCAACUCAGUGAGUAAUAAUCAUAAAUAAAGACUGUAAGCAUGAAUUCACGUAAGGUACAUUAUAGGCUAUAAUGAGGUAGUAAAACCAGUAAAACCAGUAAAUCAAAAAAAGAUAUGUGAAAGUUAUUUUAGUUCAAAUUACACUUCAUGAAAAACCUUUCUCAACAAUUAAGCAGGUAAAUGACAUGCAAUUAAGUAAGUUAAACACAUAAAGGUUCGCCCCUCGGGCAUAGCAUCAACAAAUCCGCCCCUCGGGCAUAGCAUCAACAAAUCCUCCCCUCGAGAAAUAUCUCAGAAUAAUAGUAGCCCCUCGGGCUAUAUCUCACAUCACAAUGGGUACCCGCGCUCACUAGGGGUGUGUAGACUCCUAGAGAGGCCCUUUACGGCCUAAGCGCAAUAUCAAGCCAUCUCGUGGCAUCAUCACUAGGCUCUCGACAUCAUAUCAACAAGCCACCUCGUGGCGUACACAUCUCAGGCCCUCGGCCUCAUAAGAAUAAUCAGUAUUUCCUCACAACAUAGGCCCUUGGCCUUACUCAGUCAAAAUCUCACAGCCACUCGGGCAACAGUAAAACAUAGUGCUUAGCCCAAAAUAUCAUUUAAGUAUUAAAGUAGAGUAAACAUGGCUGAGUUAUGAAAAUAGUAGAAUACAACAUGAUUGAGUUCAAGUAUAAAGUCAAAACAGUAAGGAAUAUCAAUAAAAAUCCCCUAAGGGUUCAAAUAGUUGGCACGAAGCCCAAAUAUGGCAUUCAGCCUAAAACAAGAUGAUAUCAAAUAGAUUGCAGUCAAAUAUGCGGUAAAAUAGUCAUUCGGGACAGACUAAGUCAAAAUCUCCAAUAGUGCACAACUCCACGCUCGUCAUCUAGCAUGUGCGUCACCUCAAUAUAGCAUCACGAUGUGCAAUCCAGGGUUUCAUAUCCUCAUGACAUCAUUUACAAUCAUUACUCAACUCAAUCCGGUCAAAUCUCUAGCCCGCAACGCCUUUGCCCCUCGAAUCGGCCUCCACUCGCAUUGAAUCUAUCCAAAAUCAGAAACACGGCAUGAAAAUAUGCUAAGGGAACGAAGCCCAAGCGAAAAUAAUCAAUAUACAACACAAAUCCCGAAAUUACCAAAACCCGACCCCCGGGCCCAUGUCUCAGAAUUCGAUAAAAUUCACAUCAAUGGAUUUCUUAUCUCCCCACGAGUUCAUACAUAUCAAAAGUACCAAAAUCCGAUCACAAUAGGUUCCUCAAAUCCACAAGUCUAGGUCUCCAAUACCAAGCCCUAGUUUCCCCAAUUUUAACCCUUAAUUUCCAUUAAUUAUGGCUCUAAUCCGUGAAAUAAUACAUAGGAACGAGUUUUAUGACCAAAAUUUUUACCUCAAUAAAGUUCCCUUGUAAUCUCUCUUCAAAAUCGUCCAAAAAGCUCCAAAGCCGACUUAAAAAUGGUGAAAUAGCUCAAAAAUCGCGAAGGACACAAUUUAUACCUUCUGGCCUAGGCAUUUUCGCAUCUGCGGCCAUAUACCCGUUUUUGCGGUAUCGCAUUUGCGGCCAAAGAACUGCCUCUGUGGUUUUCACUUAUUCUGUCCUGAUCCGCAUCUGCGAUGCACCAGCCGCACCUGCGCCAUCGCAGGUGCGGUCCACUAACCAUUUUUGCGGCUUCCUGCCUACCUAGCUCCAUUCUGCUUCUGCAGCUCCCCUCCACGCAUCUGCGAGAUCGCACUUGCGCACCCUAAUCCGCAUGUGCAGAAAUACCAGAAGCAGCAAAAAAUUUGCAGCCUACCAAAAUUCCAAACUUCUCCGUUAACCAUCCGAAAUCACCUCGAGGCCCCUAGGACCUCAACUAAAAACACCAACCUAUUCCAAAACCUAAUUCAAUCUUGUACCAAUCUUCAAAACACCUCAAAUAACAUCGAAUCAACCAAACCACAUCAGAUUCAAACCAACUGGACCGUGAUGAAAUCCAGAACAUGAGAUGGAUACCCGGAGCAUGGAAACAUGAAUUACCUGGUGCACACUCGACAAGCUGAGUGGUAAAGCAAGCUCAUAAGCCACCCCCCAAUCCUCUGAAGCACCUCAAAAGGCUCAAUGAACCGAGGACUCAAUUUCCCUUUCUUCCCAAAUCUCAUAGCACCCUUUAUGGGCGAAACCUUCAACAGAACCUUCUCGCCAACCAUGUAGGACACAUCUUGAACCUUCCUGUCAGCGUAACUUUUUUGUCUCGACUGUGCUGUACGAAGCCUCUCCUGAAUUACCUUCACCUUUUCUAAGGCAUCCUGCACCAAGUUUGUCCCCAAUAGCCUAGCCUCACCUGGCUCAAACCAACCAACUAGAGAUCUAUACCGUCUCUCAUACAAAGCCUCAUAUGGAGCCAUUUGAAUACUCGACUGGUAGCUGUUGUUAUAAGAAAACUCUUCAAGCGUUAGAAACUGAUCCCGUGACCCUCCGAAAUCAAUGACACAAGCACGCAACAUGUCCUCCAAUAUCUGAAUAGUGUGCUCGGUCUGCCCGUCUGUCUGAGGGUGAAAAGUUGUGCUCAACUCAACCUAAGUACCCAACUCUCGCUGCACAGACCUCCAAAAAUGCGAAGUAAACUGAGUGCCCCUAUUUGAGAUGAUGGAAACUGGGACACCAUGCAAACGAACAAUCUACCAGAUAUAGAUCUCUGCCAACCACUCUGAAGAAUAGGAAGUAGACACAGGAAUAAAGUGCGCGGACGUAGUCAGCCGAUCCACAAUCACCCAAAUGGCAUCGAACUUCUUUAAAGUUCGUGAAAGUCCAACUACAAAGUCCAUAGUGAUCCUCUCCCACUUCCACUCUGGAAUAUCCAUCCGCUGAAAUAAACCACCUGGUAUCCGAUGCUCAUAUUUCACCUGCUGACAAUUGAGAGACCGAGCUACAAAUCCCACAAUGUCUUUCUUUAUUCUUCUCCACCAAUAAUGCUGCCUCAAAUCCUGAUACAUCUUUGCAACACCUAGAUGAAUGGAAUACCGCGAGCUAUGGGCCUCCUCCAUAAUCAACUCCCGAAGCCCAUCCACAUUGGGAACACAUAUCCGGCCCUGCAUCCUCAACACCCUAUCGUCACCAAUGGUUACAUCUCUGGCAUCAUCAUGCUAAACUUUGUCCUUAACGACAAGCAAAUACGGAUCAUCAUACUAGCGCUCUCUGAUGCGAUCAUAUAAGAAAGACCGAGAAACCACACAAGCCAAAACCCGAUUGGGCUCCGAAAUAUCUAACCUCACGAACCUAUUGGCCAAGGCCUGAACAUCAACUGCAAGAGGUCUCUCCCCAACUGGAAUAUAUUCCAAACUCCCCAUACUCACCGUCUUUCAUCUCAAAGCAUCGGCCACCAUAUUGGCCUUUCCUGGAUGGUACAAUAUAGUGAUAUCAUAAUCCUUAAGCAAUUUCAACCACCUCCGUUGUCUCAAAUUAAGAUCCUUCUGUUUGAACAAGUGCUGGAGACUACGAUGAUCAGUAAACACCUCACAAGACACACCAUAUAAGUAAUGCCUCCAAAUCUUCAACGCGUGAAAUAUGGCAGCCAACUCCAAAUCAUGAAUGGGGUAGUUCUUCUCAUGGGGCUUCUACUGACGAGAAGCAUAAGCGAUAACUCUACCCUCCUCCAUCAAUACACAACCAAUACCAACUCUCGAAGCAUCAUAAUACACGGUAUAUAAACCUGAAGCUGAUGGCAAAACUAACACUGGAGCUAUGGUUAAGGCUGUCUUGAGCUUCUGAAAGCUCUCCUCACACUCAUCCGACCAUACAAAUGAAGAACCUUUCUAAGUCAACUUGGUCAAGGGCGAUGCGAUGGAUGAAAAUCUCUGAACAAACCGGCGAUAAUAGCCUACCAGACCAAGAAAGUUAUGAAUCUCUAUGGCUGAAGACGGUCUAGGCCAACUCUGAACUGCCUCUAUCUUCUUCGGAUCAACCUGAAUACCCUUGUUGGACACCAUGUUCCCCAAGAAAGCCGCCAAAACUCACACUUGGAGAAUUUUGCAUAAAGCUUCUCCUCUUUCAAUAUCUGCAACACAACUCUUAAAUUCUCUGUGUGCUCCUCCUGACUACGCGAAUACACCGGAAUAUCAUCAAUGAAGACUAUGACAAACGAGUCGAGAUAAGGCCGAAACACGCUAUUCAUCAAAUGCAUGAAUGCUGCUGGGGCAUUGGUCAGCCCAAAACAUAUCACCAAGAACUCAUAAGGACCAUAUCCGGUCAUGAAAGCUGUCUUAAGAAUAUCCGAGUCCCUGAUCUUCAACUGGUGAUACCCUGAACGGAGAUCAAUCUUGGAGAACACUCUCGCUCCCUGAAACUGGCCGAAUAAAUCAUCAAUAGAGGCAAAGGAUACUUACUCUUAACUAUUACUUUGUUCAAUUGCCUAUAAUCAAUGCACAUCCUCAUAGUGCCAUCCUUCUUCUUCACAAAUAGAACCGCCGAAUGAACCCCUUAUCAAGGAGUUCUUAAAGCUGCUCUUUUAACUCCUUCAACUCCGCUGGUGCCAUACGAUACGGCGGAAUAGAAAUGGGCUGAGUGUCCGGCACUAGGUCAAUACCAAAAUCAAUAUCCCUGUUCGGUGGCAUGCCCGACAGGUCUGCAAGAAACACAUCGGGAAAAUCCCUCACAACUAGAAAAGAAUUAUUACUGGGAGUCUCUGCAUCGACAUCCCUCACAAAGGCUAGAUACGAAAAACAACCCUUCCCAACCAUACGUUGGGCUUUCAAGAAAGAUAUCACUCUACUAGGAACAUAAUCAGUCACACCUGACCACUCAAUCCGUGGCACACCCGGUAUAGCCAAUGUUACUGUCUUAGCAUGACAGUCCAGAAUAGCACUAUACGGAGAUAGCCAAUCCAUGCCCAAAAUGACAUAGAAAUCCACCAUACAUAAUAAUAAAAGAUCCACUCGGGUUUUUAGACCCCCAAUAGUCACCACACACGACCGAUACACACAGUCUACAACAACAGUAUCGCCCACUGGGGUAGAUACAUGAACAGGUGAUACAAGAGACUCAUGGGGCGUAUCCAAAUAAUGAGCAAAGUAUGAUGACACAUAAGAAAAGGUGGAACUAGGAUCAAAUAAUACAGAGGCAUCUUUUUGGAAGACUGAAACAAUACUUAUAAUAACAGCAUCGGAAGCAAUAUUCGGGUCUAGCUGGAAGUGCAUAAAAAUGGGCCUAGCCGCCACCUGAUCGACCUCCCCCUCUGGGACGGCCUCUAGCUGACUGACCUCCACCCCUAGUUGGCUGGGUGGGUGAUGAUGAAGUAACUAGCGCUGAAUCCGAUGACUGACCCCUCUGCUGAGAUGAACCCGCAAGACGACGAGGGCACUGACUCCACAUAUGACCCAUAUCUCUACAAUCAUAACAACUCCCAAGUGCUGGAGAAGGGGACUGAAGGGAACCCCUCGCACCUGAAUGACUAGCAGAUGCACCUGGCAUAGAAGAGCCCUGAACUGAUGGAGCACGGGACGAACUUUGAGCUGGAUUGGCACUAAGUGAUGAUUGGCCCUGAUGAGAACCGUAAGAACCAUGACUCGAUGACACUCCACGAUAACCUGGGUGAGCUGGCUGAGCAUGCCUGAAUAGAUGGCCUCUACCGUGCUGAAACUGGCCUCUUGAAGGAGCACCACGAUAACUACCAGAUCCUCGAGGCCUCUUGGCCUCCCUCUCCUCUCGCUCCUAGCGAUGAACAGACUCAAUCUCACGGGCGAUAUCCACAACCUCCUCGUAAGUUGCACCAGUACCCUCUCCCUGGUCAUGAGAAUGCGAAGCUGAUAAGUGAGGCCAUCAACAAACCUCUUAAUCCUCUCUCUAUCUGUCGAAACCAACCAAAUGGCAUGACGAGCUAACUCGGAGCACCUCAACUCAUACUGCGACACGGUCAUCUCUCCCUGAUGCAACCACUCAAACUGCCUGCGCAGCUCCUCUCUAUGAGACUGCGACACAUAAUUCUCCAGAAAGAGAACGGAGAAUUGCUGCUAGGUAAGGGGUGCUGCACCAACAGGCCUACACCUCUCAAAAUCCUCCCACCAAGUGAAGGAAGCUACAGAAAACUAAUAAGCAGUGAAAGCGACCCCGCUGGUCUCCAGAAUACCCGCUGUACAAAGCAUCCUCUAACACUUAUCUAAGAAACCCUGGGCAUCCUCGCCCUCUGCACUACUGAAGGUCGGAGGCUGAAGUUUACCAAACCUCUCCAACCUACGUUGUUUGUCCUAUGACAUGGCAGGAACUACAUAAUCCUAAGCAGCUGCAACUGGCUGGGCUGGAUGUGCCCCCGGUAUCUGAAGUCCCUACACGACCUGCUCAGAUGUGCGGGCGAGGGGAGUCUGAUUUCCUCUCCCGGCCUGAGAAGUAGCUGUGGCUGUAGUAGGUGAGACUACCUGAGCUAGGCCAGUGCAAACUGAUAGAAUCUGAGCCAAGGCCUCUUGAAGACCCGAAAUCACAAUGGCCACAGCUGGUGCUUGAGCUGGUACUUCUAGAGUGUCCAUAACUGGGACCUGAUCCUGAAGUGGGGUUGCUGGUGGAUCUGCAGGUGCAGCCCUAGUUGUUGUGCGAGCCACACCUCUGCCCCUACCGCGACCACGAUCGUGUCCUCGGCCUCUAGUGGCCAUAGUUGGUGGUACUGGUGGUCGUCUAUCCUGACUGAUAGCGCGAUGUCCUCACCAUCUGUGAGAGAAUAGAAUAACAGAAUGUUAGUACUCGGAUCAACAAAUUCGCACGACAAGAAUUUUAAGAAUAUGAAGUUUUUCCUAAAGGUUCUGCAGCCUCUUGAGGAUAAAUACAGAUGUCUCUGUACCGAUCUGCGAGACUCUACUAAACCUGCUCAUAACUCGUGAGACCUAUGUAACCUAGGCUCUGGUACCAACUUGUCAUGACCUUAAACCCGGACCCGGUCAUGAUGGCGCCUCUCGUGAAGUCAAGGCCAGCCGACAUUUCCCAUUUCAGUUUUUAAGCAAUUAAACAAUAAGAUUCAAAUCUAAAUCAUGAUAAAUAAUCCAAAGUUUAAGCAGUCAAUAAUACAAAUUUGCAGAAGAACAACCCAACACAGUCCGAUACCAGGGUGUCACUAGUCAUGAGCAUCUAAAAUCUGAAAUAAUCAAGAAAAGACUACAGAGUUCCGUACAAAACUAAAACAAGGAUAAACAAUACAGGGAAGAAGCUCUGGGCAGCAAAAGCCGGCAACUACCUAGAGAAUUCUCGGAUCCACCUGAGCUGGAAGGAUCAACACUCGGGAGCGGGACUAGAUGCGCCUGAAUCUGCACAUGGGGUCCAGGGAGUAAAGUGAGUACUCCAACUCAGUGUAAUAAUCAUAAAUAAACACUGAAAGCAUUAAUUCACGUAAGGCACAUUACAGGCUAUAACUAGGCAGUAAAACCAAUAAAAACAGUAAAUCAGUAAAAGAUAUGUGAAAGUCAUUUUAGUUCAAAUUACACUUAUGAAAAGCCUUUUUCAACAAUUAAGCAGGUAAAUGAUAGGCAAUUAAGGAAGUUAAACACAUAAAGGUUUGCCCCUCGGGCAUAGCAUCAACAAAUCCUCCCCUCGGGCAUAGCAUCAACAAAUCCUCCCCUCGGGAAGUAUCUCAGAAUAAUAGUAGCCCCUCGGGCUAUAUCUCACAUCACAAUGGGUACCCGCGCUCACUAGGGGUGUGCAGACUCCUGGAGAGGCCCUUUACGGCCUAAGCGCAAUAUCAAGCCAUCUCGUGGCAUCAUCACUAGGCUCUCGGCCUCAUAUCAACAAGCCACCUCGUGGAGUACACAUCUCAGGCCCUCGGCCUCAUAAGCAUAAUCAGUAUUUCCUCACAACAUAGGCCCUUGGCCUUACUCAGUCAAAAUCUCACAGCCACUCGGGCAACAGUAAAACAUAGUGCUUAGCCCAAAAUAUCAUUUAAGUGUUAAAGUAGAGUAAACAUGGCUGAGUUACGAAAAUAGUAGAAUAUAACAUGAUUGAGUUCAAGUAUAAAGUCAAAAUAGUUGCGGUACCGCAUUUGCGGUUAUUUCUCCGCUUCUGCGGAAAUCACUUAACUUACGGUUUUCUGCUUAUGCGAUCCCUCAUCCGCAUUUGCGACAUUGCAGAUGCGGUCCAUCUCACCGCUUCUGCAGUUCCUGACUCCCUCAGAACUUCAGUUUCUGCUACCUCCCUUAUUGCACAUGCGGUCCCCAAUUCGAAUGUGAGGAAAUACCAGAAGCAACACCUUCAACAGCUGCAACAAAAUUCCAACUUCUCUGUUAACCAUCUGAAAUCACCCCGAGGCCCCCGGAACCUCAACCAAAAGAACAAACAUAUCCUAAUACCUUAUUCAAACUUGUACCAAUCUUUAAAACACCUCAAAUAACAUCAAAUCAACCAAAACCCAUCAGAUUCAAGCCAAAUUUUCUAAAAUCUUCCAAAUUCCGCUUUUGAUCAAAAACCCAACCAAACCUCGUCCGAAUGACAUGAAAUUUUGCACAUACAUCCUAAAUGAUACAACGGAACUACUGCAACUCUCAGAAUUCCAUUCCGACCCCUCUAUCAAAAUCUCGCCUACCAACCGGAAAUUGCCAAAAUAUCAACUUUGCCAAUAAAAGCCUAAAUCUACUACGAACCUCUAAAAUUCAUUUCGAUCACGCUCCUAAGUCACAAAUCACCUCCCAAAGAUAGCCGAACCAUCAAAACUCACAUACGAGCCCUCUAACACAUAAGUCGAUAUCUGGUUGACUUUUCCAACUUAAACUCACUCUUAAGAGACUAAGUGUCUCAAACCUUACCAAAUCCUUUCCGAACUCGAUACGACCAACCCGAUACCACAUAACACGGAUAACAAGGCAUAACAAAGCAGAAAUAGGGAAAACGGAGUGGUAACUCAUGAGACGACUGGCCGGGUCAUCAUAAUAUUCCCCUACCUCUCCCCCUUGUGUGAGAUUUGUUCUGAAGCUGUAUGUUCUCUAGCCUGCUUUCUAACUAUUUUUUUUAAAUGCCUUAUUAAAUUGUUCCUACUCUUUACUCUGUUCUGACUUUCAUAAAUGUUCUUUCUACUAGUAAGAUCUUCAUUCUCUAUCUACCAAACCCUUUCAAAGUCAUUAUGCACUCCCACAUUACUCCUAGAGUAUUAGGUUCUGCCCCUCUGGCAUGUCAGAGCUGGCCUUUCCACACUGCACUUAAAUCAGUUAUUGUUGAGAAAGGGUUUAGGUGUGAGCACUACCCGGGAUCCUUGAGGUCCUUAGGGAACUUUGACACACCUAGACAUGAUAUCGUCUAUGGAACUUUGGUAUUGAGGCUAUCGGAGGCUUGGGAAAUCAUUUGGGCCUGCUUCAGGCUCCCUAUAGUUAACUUCUUUUUUUUUAUUUGUUUAUGUAAUUUAUUUCAGACGGUAUGUAAUAAUUAUAUAUAAACAACAUUGGGGUGAUUAGUGAAAAGGGAUGGGUAGUUAUAUCUGUUAGGGUAAUUCGGGUAGAUACCAUGCCUAUAGGAUUGUGUUAAUACACUUGUUAUGUUUGCUUUACUUUCACAAUAUUAGAAAUUAUGUCUAUAGGGUUAAAAUCAACUUUAUAAUUAGAAAUCAUGCUUAUAGGAUCUAAAUGGCUUUGUAAUUAGAAAUCAUGCCUAUAGGAUUUAAAUGGCUUUAAUAACUAGAUACCAUGCCUAUAGAGUGUAAAGUAAUUGAGUUCAAUUUCUGCCACUACAUGUAUUUGCAUUUGUUUCACUAAAAAUCAUGCCUAUAAGUUCCAACAUCAGCUCUUAACAAUUAGAUACCAUGCCUAUAUGAAUUAAAAUCAAAAAUCCUACCUACAGAACUAAAAUCAGUUUGGUUAAACAAGUCAGUUUAAUUCAUGUCUAAUUCGUGUUCAAAUUGGUUCAAUUACUGUCCAUUUCUUUAAAUGAGUUUCCAAACACUGCCUUAAUUUACUACCGCUAGAAAACAUGUCUAUAGGAUCUCAAAUAUCUAUUUAAAACUGUUCGCUAUUUUACUAAAUCAAGGUAGAUAUCCUGCUCUUAGGACAUCACUGUCUGCGUUUAGGCAAGCCUAUAGGGCGAUUAAAAUUUUGCAACUCUGAAAUUGUGUUUUUGCUAUUUAAACUGUCCAGAUUUAAUAGGUUUAAACCAGUAGGCAAGCUAAAUAGGAUUUUGACACUUUGUCCUAAUUCAAGGCUGUGUAAUCCCUGCUCACCUAGAUACCAUGUUCUAGGAUCUUCUCUUAAAUACUGGACUAUUGUUUGAAGACGUGCAAUUACUUGUUAUAUUUGUGGAGGUAACUUUGGGCCUAUAACUUGUUCCCUUUAAAUGCAAUCCUAACCGUUCUUGAUUGAUUCCUAGACUUUUAUCCUUUAAAACCUUAGGAGGGUCUAGAACUGUCCAAAAGUAGAGGUCCUGAAAUACCUCCAGGGCCACGAGGAGGGGACGGGUAGUGCACACAUAAGACAUUUUAAUGUUAUUAGAAUGCUUUAGGUUAUGAUGACUACGCGCUAAUAUCACGUCUAGCCCCUUAUUGAGGAGUGUUUACCGGGCAUUGUGUGGGGUGAUCCUGUAGGCUAAUCAACAUAGGAUCCCUUUCUCCAAUUCCCAAUGUACUUUACUUUUUUAUAUGCAACUUGCUCAAAUUCUUUGUCUUAUUAUUAUUUGAGUCAAACAGUGUCCGAUAUACUUUUAUUUACAAAUUAUGUGUUUCAACUUCUUGUUUUUAAAGGACUAAUUCAUAAGUAUGAGUUCGGCCAGGACCCACUAUUGUGGACCAAGAGGGGUGCCUAACACCUUUCCCUCAAGGUUAUUUCGAGCCCUUACCCUAAAUCUCUAGUAAUGCAAAUUAGUCUAAGUGUUAAUUACUCUAGGUGCCCUAACGCACCAUAAAUCCGUUAGGUGGCGACUCUUCAAAUACCCAAAUCCCAAAACCCCCCAUGAACGUCGGAACCCGGAAUUCUCUCCGCGAAGAGAAAAAAGGGGCGCGACACUACUUAUUUCCUGCAUCGUUAGUGUGGAAGUUUCAAAUAAUUUUUUACUGUGCUGUUUUGGAUUGGAUAACCAGUCGUUGGAUGAUUUUUUUUUCUUUUCUUGUUUUGCUAUAAAAAGAAAUAAUCAAAGCUGAAGGGAGAAAUAAAUCAAAGAUUGAUUGAAGCAUCUAAAAGGAAAAAGAGCGCUAAGAAUCCGACAAGAAAAUCAAUCAGAGAUUGCCUGAAGAGUUAAAAAGGAAAAAACGCAUUAAAGAUGGAAGGAACCAUAUUUAAGGAGCAAACACGGCGCUAUUAAGGCUUGAAGAUGGAAGGUGUCAAAGUCCACACAUCAAGGAAGAGUAACGGGCAUUUACCUUAUUCUUGGAAAGAAUCAAUUUCUUUCCAAGGAUCAAAUCUCUUGGGUUGACAAAUCUGUUCAGUAACAGUCUCCUACAAAGUAUUUAUACGCAACCUUAGGACUUAGAGACAUAUACUUUGAUCAAACCAAUUAUCCUCUCUUUGUUCUACCACAAACAAACAUUGUAGCUUUACUAGAUCUACCGUGUAACAACUUAGAGAAGAAAGAGAGAAAAAUACUAGUGAGGCAUUGUAUCAAGAAAAGACGAGUGACAUAAAAACUGAGUUGUUGGUGUAAACUACACCAUUCACUUUGUACUCAAGAAACUCAAUCCCUGAAAGAGAAAUCCCUUGCAACCCAAGGGAACUGGACUAGGAUUCACAUUGAAUCCGAACCAGUAUAAAACCUCCGUGUCUUUAAUUCUUGCAAUUUACUUCUGCAUUUUAAUUCUGCACCUUUUGAUAUCUUGCUAUUACAUCUAGCCGACUAAUUGAAAAAAUAAUCAACUUAUAACAAUUAAUUUUAAUAAUAAAUCAAUUCACCCCCCUCUUGUACUUUCAUGUACUUAUCUUCUAGAGGCUAUGAAGUUUAGGAACAAAUUUCACUUUUACUCUUCUUUGUCGUGUGAUUUUACUCUCUCAUUGCUCAUUGAACUCUUCUACUCUUGUUCUCUCACAGAUGGUGAGAACAUGUACUGCAUUUCAAUCGGAGACCCCAGUGGCAGCUCCUAUGAGAAGUAGAGGUCGAGGCUGAGGUAGAGGUAGAGCUCAGCCCAGAGCUCGAGCACCAGCACCAGCACCAGUAGUAGAGUCUUAGGUGGAGUUUGAUGAGGAGGUUCCAUCCUAGACUGUGCCUAUUGGACCAGCUCAGGUCCCGGAGGGGUUCAUCGCCACCCUUGUGCUUCAAGACGCUCUAGUCCGUUUAUUGGGCCUUAUGGAUAGUGUGUCCCAGGCCGGUACAUUCCCUAUAGCACCACCCAUAUAUCAGGCUGGGAGAGGAGCAAAGACUCCCACUACUCACACUCCGGAGCAGAUGAACCCUAAUACCAGACUCCAGCAGCCCAGCCAGUUAGGGUAGUUUAGCUGGUGUUGUGGCAUAUGCCGGUGAUGGACUAACCAUGUCUUCUGAGGGCUUAUUGAGAUUGGACAAGUUUACCAAGCUCUUACUAGUUCACUUCAGUGGUGCACCUUCUGAGGAGCCACAGGAUUAGCUUGGCCGCUGUCAUGAGGUGCUGCGGAACAUGGGGAUAGUUGAGACCAAUGGGGUCGAUUUUGCUUUGUUUUAGAUGAUGAUUUCCACCAAGAGAUGAUGGAAGGAUUUUGUAGCUACUAGACCAGUCGGGUCGUAUGCUCUUACUUGGGACUAGUUCUCUCAGAUAUUUCUUGAGAAGUUCUUUCCUGUCAUACUGAGAGAGGAUUAUCGCAAGCAGUUUGAGCGUCUCCAUCAGGGCAGUAUGUUAGUCACUCAGUAUGAGACUCGUUUUGUGGAUCUGGCCAGUCAUGCUAUUCUUCUGCUUCCUACCAAGAGAGAGAGAGAGAGAAGGUGUGGAGGUUUAUCGAGGGACUCGCUCAGCCUAUCAAAUUGCAGAUGGUUAAGGAGACCGGGAGCGAUAUUUUUUUCUGACAGCUGCUAAUGUCACCUGGCGAGUCGAGAUGGUUCUUGCAUAGGGGGAGGUAACGGAUCUGACAAGAGGCCUCGUCAUUCCAGUGGGUUCAGUGGUGCCUCGUCUGGAGGCAGGGGUACUUUCGGUAGAGGCCAUCCUCACAGGCCGUUUUAUUUAGCACUCCAGGCGUCCCAUAGUGCUACAGGUGGUUGUGGCCCUCAUAUGCCUCAUUCUGACUAGCUAACCUAUAGUGCACCACCAGCUCCUAUUAGUGCACCUCGGCUCCAGAGUUUUCAGGGUGGUUUCUCGGGUUGACAUGGUCAGUUUUAGGGUCUGCAGUCACAGCAGCCAAGGUCCUGUUAUACUUAUGGUGAUCUGAGGUAUAUUGCUAGAUUUUUUCCUCGGGCAUCGAGCAUCUCACAAUAUCAAGGUUCUCGUGCCAUGGUCCCAGCACUGGUGCUUUACUGCCCGCUAAUAUAGCUAGAGGUUGGGAUCAGACAGCUAGAGGUAGAGGUUAGGCUAUCAGAGGUGGUGGUCAGUCUGCUAGAGGUGGAGGCCAGCCAGCUAGGGCCCGUCCAUAGAGAUAUAGUUCAGAGUGGUGGGGCCCAGCCUCGAUGCAAUGCUUUUCCAGCUAGGCCUAAGGCUGAGUCAUCUGACGCCGUUAUCAGAUGUAUUGUUUCAGUUUGCCGUAGUGAUGCUUCAGUUCUAUUUGAUCCGGGCUCUACUUAUUCCUACGUGUCAUCCUAUUUUGCUUCAUAUUUGGUUAUGCCUCGUGAUUCUUUGAGUGCUUCUAUGUAUGAGCCUACACCUAUGGGAGAUGCUAUUGUUGUAGAUUGUGUUUAUCAUUUGUGUGUGGUUACAAUUGAAAGUCUUGAGACUAGUGCAGAUCUUCUACUUCUUGAUAUGGUAGACUUCGAUGUUAUCUUAGGCAUAGAUUGGCUAUCACCGUAUCACACUAGAUUGGAUUGUCACGCCAAGACGGUGACCUUAGCCUUGCCAGGGUUGCCUCGAUUAGAGUGGAGAGGGACUCCUGGCCAUUCUACCCGGAGGGUUAUCUCUUAUGUGAAGGCUCGGUAUAUGGUCGAGAAGGGGUGUCUAGCUUAUCUGGCUUAUGUCCGCGAUUCUAGUAUGGAGGUUCCUUCCAUGGAUUCAGUACCUAUUGUUUGUGCGUUUCCAGAGGUAUUUCCUACAGACUUGCUGUCAUGAUCCUAAAACUCACCCGGUCAUGAUGGCGCCUAUCGUGAAACUAGGCCAGCCGACACAAACCCAAAACCAACUAGAAAAUCAUAAGAAGCCAUUUUAAGCCAUUAAUUAACUAAAAUCCCAUAAUAUAAGUUUAAACAAGCAGUGCGGAAAUAUAACACAAGCCCGACAUCGGGGUGUUACCAGUCAUGAGCAACUACAAACUUUUCUAAGAACAAGGAAAGGCUAACAUAGUCCGAAAAUAAAAUACUAAGACAAUCUGAGUAAUAAGAAGGAGAAAUGUAGGGCUGCGAACGCCAAGAAGCUACCUAGCCAACUCUGGAGACCUGCUGGAAGACUGAUCAGCACUCACUAUCACGUCCCGAGACUCAUGAAUCUACACACAUGGUGCAGGGAGUAAUGUGAGUACGCCAACUCAGUAAGUAUUAAAAGUAAAAGAAGCUAAGCAGUAAGAAAACAUGUAAUUCCACGUCAUAGAACUACAACAAAAUAGUAUAUGUCCAGAACAAUACAGUAAAUCAAUUAACUCGUAAAACAACUCGGUUCAGUAAAACCCUUUUAAAACAUCUUUCAAUAGUUUCAAACGAGUGAUGAAAACAGUGAGUAAAAGGAUAGAAAGUAAAUGGCCCCUCGGCCAAAACAUGUAUCAAAAACUGCCCAUCGGGCAAAAUAUCAACAAAACCAGCCCCUCGGGCAACAACAUGAAACAACAAGAGCCCCUCGGGCAAUAUCAUAUCACUCACACUGGGACACGCACUCACUGGGGGUGUUCAGACUCUAGAAGGGCUCCUACAGCCCAAGCGCUAUCACAAGCCAUCACGUGGCAUAGCAAAUCAGGCCCUCGGCCUCUCAUAUAUCACAAAUCAGUACAACAUGCUAUGACGCACAGCCCGAUCCCAUAAUAUCCUCACAACACAGGCCCUCGGACUCACUCAGUCAGAAAUCUCUCAAGCCACUCGGGCAAUAGUAAAACAUGAUGCUCAGCCCAAAAUAUCAUUUAAAUUAUCAAAAUGGAGUAAGUACGGCUGAGUUAUAAAAACAGUAGAAUACAACAUGACUGAGUUUAGAUAUUAAGUAAAACCAUUAAGGAAUAGUAGUAAAAAGCCCCUAAGGGUCCAAAACAGUUGGCAUGAGGCCCAGAUAUGGCAUUCAAUCCAAAACAUGGAAAUACUUUCCAAAACACAAUGAUAUCAAAUAGUUUUCAAUCAAAUACACGACUUAACAGUCGUACCGGACAGACCAAGCCAGAAUCCCCAAUGGUGCACGACCCCACACUCAUCAUCUAGCGUGUGCAUCACCUCAAAGUAGCACAACGAUGUGAAAUCUGGGGUUUCAUACCCUUAGGACAAUAUUUACAAUCAUUACUAACCUCGAUCCGGUCCAAACUCUAGCCCGCAAUGCCUUUGUCUCUCUAUUUGUUCUCUAAAUGCUCCAAAUCUAACCAAAAUCAGUAUCAUACCAUAAAUACGCGCUAAAGGAACAAAGCCCAAGCGAAAUAAUCAAAUUAACUCAAAAAUCCUAAAAUUGGUCAAACCCGACCCCAGGCCCACAUCUCGGAAUCCGAUAAAAAUUACAUCAAUAGAAUCCUUAUUCUCCCACGAGUCCAUACAUACUAAGAACAUCAAAAUCGGAACUCAAAUGUCCCCUUAAAUCCCCAAUUUACACUCUCUAAUUUCAACCCCUAAUUCCCCAAUUUUAGGCUUUAAAUCCCACUAAUUUCAUGUCUAAAUAGUUAGAAAUCAUCAUAGAAUUGAGUAUUGAGUUCAAAAACCUUAUCUCCAAGUGUUUCGCUUCGAUUCCAUCUCCAAUACCUCUCAAAAAGCUUCAAAGCCGUUCAAAAAUGGUGAGAAAUGGGCUAAUAAUCGCGAAGAUGAGUUUUUAUACAUUCUACCCAGGUGCUCUCUUCAUCGCGAACGCGACCGUCCUCUCGCGUUCGCGUAGGCCAAUAUCAGACUUCCUCUGCUUAACCAUUUGUGAAUGCGACAACUUCUUUGCGAAUGCGAUGCUCAACCAGCUCACUCCUUCGCGAACGCAGACCUCGCCUCGUGAACACGUAGACCAAAGACCUGGGUUCCCCAACUGCCUCACUCCUCUUCGCAAAUGCGACCCCACUCACGCGUCCGCGAUGCACAUGAUGCCUUAACCUUCGCGUUUGCGUCCUCUCCUUUGUGAACGCGUAGAACAAAAUUCACUACCACAGAAGACACUCUUUGCGAACGCGAGACACCCUUCGCAAACAUGAUUAACAAAAUCUCUGCAACAGAAAACCAGCAAAAUCUGCUAACUCCUCAAGUCCAAAAUGACCUGUUGAGCAUCCGAAACACACCCGAGGUCCUUGGGACCUCAACCAAAUAUGCAACACAUCCCAUAACAUCAUUCAAACUUGUUCCAACCUUCGGAACACAUAAAACAACAUCAAAACAUCAAAUCACCCUCAAAUUUAAGCAUAAGGAUUCUAGAACUUCCGAAUUCCGCAAACGUUCAAAAUGUCUGUCAAACAUCACUUGAAUAACCUGAAAUUUUGCACACACGUCAAAAAUGACACAACAGACCUACUCUAAUUUUCAGACUUCCAUUCUAACCCCGAUAUCAAAAUUUCCACUGUCAACCGAAAAAUGCCAAAUUUUCAAUUUUGCUAAUUCAAGCCUAAAUCUACCACGGACCUCCAAAAUACAUUCCAGUUAUGCUCCUAAGUCUCAAAUCACCUAACGAAGCUAUCCGAACCAUCGAAAUUCACAUCCGAGGCCUUUUUCAUAUAAGUCAAAAUCCGGUUGACUCUUCCAUCUUACGCUUACUCAAAAGAGACUAAGUGUCUCAUUUCUCUAUAAAAACCACUCCAAACCUGAACCAACCACCCCAAUACCACAAAAUACAGCUGAACAAGACAUAAGGAAGAAGCAAUGGGGGAAACGAAGCGGUAACUCAUGAAACAACCGGCCGGGUCGUUACAUCCUCCCCCUCUUAAACAAACAUUCGUCCUCGAAUGAGUCAACAAACAUACCUAAAGCCUCAAAUAGGUGAGGAUAUCUACUCUGCAUCUCCCGCUCAGUCUCCCAGGUAGCCUCCUCCACGGGCCGACCUCUCCACUGCACUUUCACUGAAGUUAUAUUCUUUGACCUCAACUUUCGGACCUGCCACUCCAAAAUAGCAACUGGCUCCACAUCAUAAGUCAAAUCACCAUCUAACUGAAUCGUGCUGAAAUCCAAAACAUGAGACGGAUCGCCAAUAUACUUUCGGAGCAUAGAAACAUGAAAUACCAGAUGCACACUUAACAAGCUGGGUGGCAAAGCAAGCGCAUAAGCCACCUCCCCAAUCCUCCGAAGUACCUUAAAAGGACCAAUGAACCGGGGACUCAACUUACCCCUCUUCCCAAAUCUCAUAACACCCUUCAUGGGUGAAACCUUCAAUAGAACAUUCUCCCCAAGAAUGUAAGACACAUCACAGACCUUCCUGUCAGCAUAACUCUUUUUUCUUGACUGCACUGUACGAAGCCGCUCCUGAAUCACCGUCACCUUGUCUGAAGCAUCCUGCACCAAGUCUGUACCCAAAAUCCUAGCCUCACUCAGAUCAAACCAACCAACCAGAGAUCUACACCGCCUCCCAUACAAAGCCUCAUAUGGAGUCAUCUGAAUACUCGACUGGUAACUGUUGUUGUAAGCAAAUUCUGCGAGCGGUAGAAACUGAUCCCAUGACCCUCCAAAAUCAAUGACACAAGCACACAACAUGUCCUCUAAUAUCUGAAUAGUUCGCUCGGACUGCCCGUCCGUCUGAGGUGAAAAGUUGUGCUCAACUCAACCUGAGUACCUAACUCUUGCUGCACAUCCCUCCAAAAUUGCGAAGUAAACUGAGUACCUCUAUCUGAAAUGAUGGAAACUGGAACACCAUGAAAGUGAACAAUCUAUCGAAUAUAGAUCUCUGCUAACCGCUCUGAAGAAUAGGUAGUACAAACAAGAAUGAAGUGCGCGGACUUGGUCAGCCGAUCCACAAUCACCCAAAUAGCCUCGAACUUCUUCAAAGUCCGUGGGAGUCUAACUACAAAAUCCAUGGUGAUUCUCUCCCACUUCCACUCUAGAAUAUCCAUCUGCUGAAGCAAGCCACCCGGUCUCUGAUGAUCAUAUUUCACCUACUGACAGUUGAGACACCAAGCUACAAAUCCCACAAUGUCCUUCUUCAUUCUCCUCCACCAAUAAUGCUAUCUCAGAUCCUGAUACAUCUUCGCAGUACCCGGAUGAAUGGAAUAUCGCGAGCUACGGGCCUCCUCCAGAAUCAAAUCCCGAAGCCCAUCCACAUUGGGCACACAUAUCUAGCCCUGUAUCCUCAACACCCCAUCAUCACCAAUAGUCACAUCUCCUGCAUCAUCGUGCUGAACUCUGUCCUUAAGGACAAGCAAAUGAGGAUCAUCAUACUGGUGCUCUUGAUGUAAUCAAAUAAGGAAGACCGAGAAACCACACAAGCUAAGACCCGACUAGGCUCCGAAAUAUCCAACCUCUCAAACCGAUUGGCCAAGGCCUGAACAUCAACUGCAAGAGGUCUAUCUCCAAUAGGAAUAUAUGCCAAACUGCCCAUACUCAAUGCCUUCCUACUCAAGGCAUCGACCACUACAUUGGCCUUUCCCGGAUGGUACAAGAUAGUGAUAUCAUAGUCCUUUAGCAACUCCAACCACCUCCGCUGCCUCAAAUUGAGAUCCUUCUACUUAAACAAGUGCUGGAGGCUGCGAUGAUCAGUAAACACCUCACAAAACAUGCCAUACAGGUAUGCCUCCAAAUCUUCAAUGCGUGAACAAUGGAAGCCAACUCUAGAUAUCCACACAUUUUCACCUCGAUCGAACGACAACGGGAUACUAUUUCGAUAAGUUCAAAAUAACACCCUUUAAGGCCAAGGACCUUCUCCAAAAUGAAGAGUUCGACCUCGAUCAAAUGACGACGGGUUACUAUUUCGAUAAGUUUUGAAUAACACCCUUUAAGGCCAAGGGCCUUUCCCAAAGUGAAGAGUUUAACCUUGAGCGAACGAUGACGAGUUACUAUUUGGAUAAAUUCGAAAUAACACCCUUUGAAGCCAAGGGCCUUCGCCAAAAUGUAGAGUUCGACCUCGAUCGAACAACGACGGGUUACUAUUUCGAUAAGUUCGAAAUAACACCCUUUAAGUCCAAGGAUCUUCGCAAAGUGAAUUGUUCGACCUCGAUCGAACGACGACAGGUUACUAUUUCGAUAAGUUCGAAAUAACACCCUUUAAGGAUAAGGGCCUUCGCCAAAAGGAAGAGUUUGACCUUGAUCGAACGACGAUGGGUCACUAUUUCGAUAAGUUCGAAAUAAAACCCUUUAUGCCCAAGGGCCUUUGCCAAAAGGAAGAGUUCGACCUCGAUCAAAUGACAACGGGUCACUAUUUCGAUAAGUUCGAAAUAACAUCCUUUAAGGGCAAGGGCCUUCACCAAAAUGAAGAGUUCGACCUCGAUCGAACAACGAUGGGUUCUAUUUUGAUAAGUUCGAAAUAACACCCUUUAAGGCCAAGGGCCUUCGCCAAAGUGAAGAGUUCGACCUCGAUCGAAUGACGACGGGUUACUAUUUCGAUAAGUUCGAAAUAACACCCUUUAAGGCCAAAGGCCUUCGCUAAAGUGAAGAUUCGACCUUGAUCAAACAACGAUGGGUUACUAUUUCGAUAAGUUCGAAAUAACACCCUUUAGGGCCAAAGACCAUCAAAAAGUGCAAAAAGACCGAGACCCACUGGGCGGGAAUCCAUCUCGCAUCGAAAUCACGCGCAACAUAAACAAGGGUAGAAUACAAGACAAAUAACAGUGAAAAACUCUUCUUUAUACAAAGUCUCCGCGCAAAUGGUAGCGGAUUACAUAAGACCCAAGUUAACAAUAUAUAAAAAAGGAGGGGCAACAAACAACAAAGAAAAAAAACAACGAUAAUCGACUACGAACGAAAAACGGGGAAGAAAACAUCAAAUGGAAAACAGAUCAAUGUCACUAUCCCUCUACUCUACAUAAUCAUCGCCACCCUCUCCAAUACCAUCUCCGGGAAGUUCUCCUUCGACGUUUGUGCCCCCAUUGGCUUCUGGUGUCACCGCAUCAUAUCCACAAUUGACGCGAGCCUCCCGCACUUUCACUCUCGCCUCUUCAUAGGCAUCUUUAGUCACAUUCCCCCCCUCCUACAAACUCUUGUAUAUAUCCUGCUGGGCUUCGGCGUAAACCUAAAGCUCGUGCAUGCAGCGAGGAACGGUGGUGGAGGUAGAUUCAAUCUGAGCCAACAGAUGCUAAUUUUUCGCCUCUAGUGCUGCGACCCGAUCCCCAGAACCGAGGCCUCUUAGUUAAUCUCGCUAAUGUGCUCCGCAUAUCUUGCCUCCAUAAGGGUGGCCAUCGCUCUCUUCGAUUCUUUCUCGGAUUGGAGGACGCGAAUGGUUUUCUCCAGGGCCACCACCCUCGCUGAAGCCGCGGACCAAGUACUCUCGAUGCUCUCCAACCCAACAAUCUUGUUCUCCAGCCCAGUCAAUUUCCCCAUCCAUUCCGCGCUUAGCGCCUCAACCUUGAUCAAGUUCAUAUCCAUCUCCGACUGCUGCUGUGGAUAGCCUGCAUUAAUUCUUGGUCCAUUUUCUGCAACUCCUCACCAAGAGCCCGACUACCAGGGUUUGUAUUCAGCCGCUCAUGCCUUUUGCGAUACUUGUUGCGGUAGCGACGAUAUUUCUCCAACAUCUUCAAGAAAAUCUUGGCCCGAAUGUUGGCCCUACGAAUGCUCUCCAUUUCCACCAUAUACGUCUGAAAAAUAAAAAGAUAGGUUAGAAUCCUAUCAUCAAGGAAAAGCGAAAGUAAGCAUAACAUACCCUUAAGCCCAUAGCGGCCACCUCGUCCAUCAAUUCAGCAUCGAGAAUGGUCCGAAGGGUCACAUUCUCAGAUACGGAGCAUAGCAUGCUGAACUGCGGCACUAGGUCCUCCGUGUCCCCAGGAGAUUGACAUCCGAAGGGAUCUCAAGAAUACGGGCCGAGCCUCCCACACGAACUAACGAGUGAGUAAGACCCUCCUCAAACAUCCUGACAUCAUCAGGGUCGAGGUCCGAUUCGGAUUCAUAGUCGUCGACCACCAUGGCGUUUCCUCUUUCAACAGCCGAAGAGGAAGCAUGACCAACUAUGGAGGACGUGGGUACGUCCGAAACUACAACGGUAGCCCCGAAAAUCUAACCUUCCACCACGAUAGGUUGCUGACCACCAACAACGUUGGGAAUCUCUGGUUGAGCCGAGGCGAUAACCGGUUCCGUCCCUAUGGGGGGAGCCACAAAAACCCCCUCUCCAGACCCUGUCAAAGGAGAGUCAUCUAGAUGAAUCACUGUUGGGGGUGUUGUCUCGAACUCCACUCGCCGUCUUUUUGAUGGCCACUCUUCUUCCCUAGUAGGCAAAGAUUCACCCGUCAGGCGAACAACAUGGGUUGGAACAUCGGCCUGAGAAGCGGCCCUCGCAGAGUAACCACGGACGCAGACUCAACUGAAGCAGCCCUCGACGAAGGUCGGGCAGUGGGUACCGCGAUAGGGCGAGCAGAUAAGGCUGGCUGCCGGAAAGCUAACGGAGGAGCCCUCACUCUCCGUACCCUCCCUGACACCGACAAACAUCAUGUGAGGAAUUAAAUACAAAGAUAAAAAGAGAAAAACAGUGAACAGAAAUGACAUCUUACCAGAAAGAGGCCUGUGCCCAUACUUGUCAUAGAAAGUCGCCCACAUGCGGACCCCUGCUGUAUGAGGGAGAAUAGCACUUACCCACUCGCGGAUAUUUUCGACAGGUGGAGGGGGCAAUUUCUCAGUUGCAAAAACAUAACAGGGUUUAGUACUAUAACGGAAAAUGGUCGGAUAUAUCUUCGACUAAAAGCAUGAGAAGUUCCACUUCUCAGGGAACCCCGUCGGAUCCACCACAAUGUGUUCAGUCUGCACAUAGAAAUAAUUCUCAUAAAAACGAUGGUUAGUUCUAUCAUACAUCUUCACCAUCAGACUCUUCGACCGUCGAGGACACAUGUGAAGCAUCAUGUCGCGGAUAAGCUGAGGAGCGAAGAUACUAAGCAGGUGGUAUAAGGUGAUCUCACGACCGGCGAGUUCCGCAAACUUGAGCAACAUAAGGAACAUCUUGUAUAGGUACGACGAAAGUUGGGCGGAGCAUACCUCAUAAAAGCGGUAGAAGUUUACCACUAGGAGAGGGAGAGGAAGUGUGUAUCCAAUAAGGAAGGGGUAAGCAUAAAAUACACAGUACCUACAACAGUCAAAGUGAACUAUGUCGUUUCCUUCCACCGGCCGCAUGUCGACAUAACCCGGGAUCCUCCACCUGGUUUUCAACUCUACAAUGCCUUCUUCUCUCAUAACAGAAGGAACAGGCUCCGGCUCCGCCCCGGCGCGACUGCUGAAGUCGGUCAAUUCUCUCCCAGUGCAAGGAAAAAUCUCAACUAUCAACAAGACCUCCUCGUCUUCCACUGCAUCUGCCCCUCCAGUGACCUGAGCAGCACUUUCCGGUGCUGGAAUCGUGACGGGGAGAUCGGUGCGAGAGGAAUCACCAGCCAUUUUGUCCAGAAGAUACGGCAAAAAGACAACGGAAAGAAAGGAUGAAAAUCCUCAGUUAACAAAAGGGCAAACGAAAACUUGGAAUGUCAGGAAGAAAGUAUAUUUGCAGAAUUCUUUCGCGUAAAAGGAAAAAAGUGUGUCAAUCGAAUGAUAAGUUCUUUCUAUUUAUAAGAGACAUAGAUCCCUCGAGCACGAAACCUAAGAGUCGCCAAUUGAACCUGAUAGGGCACGAAACGUUUCAGUUCCCCAGGGACGUGUGUCAUGAUGGCGGUAACCACAAAAUAAGGCUUCGAUACCAAACGACGUUUUGGUUCCGAAACAGCCGCAACGGUUCAUGGGUAUCAAGAGAACGCCGCCACCUCGCCUAAAACCCAAGUAAUGUAACUAAGGAACGAGAAGUCAGAUUUUGCUCAAACUCAUAGCAAUCAUGAUCCGUUUGCCGGGCCCGACAGAGGACGACCCCAAUAUCAUACCCUUUUUUACAAACUUCACUUAACUCUUUUAAAAUUAAUAAAAGUGAUUCGUAAAGCUUGAAAAGGAUUUUCUAAUUAGAACAUGACAAAAAUUGUGUUCAAAAGGAAAUAACUCAGAGUCGCCACCUGACAUUGAUUUCGGUGUGUCAGGUCAUCAUUUUUUUUAAAAAUGAUUUUUCCUUUAAGACACUUUGGACUCCAAAACUAAAUUCGCACCAGAGAUUUGGGUAAGGGGGUUUAUUUGACUCGGGGAGAAGGUGUUAGGCACUCCCCAAGUCUGUGAAAGUCACGGUUUCAUACUCGAUCUAGUUGGCUUUUAAAAUAUUUAAGUUGAGGUAAAAUAAAAACAGAAAAGAAAAAUAAACACGUAAGAUGCUCGAGGUCGUCCCCCUCCUAAUAAAAGAAAGAUAAAAAUAAAAUGAAAUAAGAAUAAAAGUACCACGAGUUCGCUUUCCGCCUCCAAUUAUAGAAUACUAAGGGGCAUUCCCCAGAAUAAAAAAUAUACAAAUCCUUCGGGGCAUUCCCAGGAUAAAUUUAACUAAGGGAAUGACCUCUUGCCUCAAAAUUAAACAAACAAAAUCCUAGAGUUUGCCUACCUAAACAUUAACGGCCUAAACAUGCUCCUAGCAAUUAAAAGCAACAAAGCAAGAUAAAGAACUAAGAAAAUCGAUCCAAGCUCAAAUUUUUGUAAUUCCCUUUCCAGCUCGUCCAGUACGCCUUUAUAAAGUCCAUGUUUCUAUUAAACCAACCCCUUGACCAAAUUCAAUUUUUUGUCCCGUUUAUCAAAUUGUGACUUAUUUGCCUUAAUAUUCCUAAUGCACUUCAAGUUUAACCCAAUUAAUUCAAAUUGAUCCAACACAAAAUUAACGAUAAUGCAAAAAACUACAGUGAAUCAAGGAAGCAAAAAAACACAAAACAAGACAUGAAACAUUCCAAAAACCACAAGCAAAAUAAUGAAAAAGAUCAAAGCACAUAUCAGAUGAGAGAAAAUUGAACCUCAUUGAUUGAUUUCUUUGUAUUAAACGUGACCUUGGUCGCAACAAACUCUGACAAACCAAAUUUGGCCGAAAAGCGCAAUAGUAGCAGGAGCUCGGACCGCGAAUUCCUUUGACAGACCUCUUCGACUCAAACUCAGGAUCCUGAGCAGCUAUGUUGGCGCUGAGAAUACUCUAAUCACUAGUUAUAAAAUUAGCUAAAAUUGGCUAUAACCUUUUGACCACUUAAAAUUCAGCAGACUCCCAUAAAUUUUUAAUAGAAGACAAAACCCUCUUGGCUCUUGUUUGAGAACUAGGUGAAGAAGUGAGAAAAGCAAUAGCCACAAAAAUAGUAAGUAAAAAGAGACGUUUGGCUAGCUUCUCUAUCUCUCUCGUCUGGAUGUGCACAAAUCCGGCGUCGCUACCGCAACGAGUAACACCAGAAUAGCGCUAAUGGGAAGCAAAGAUCAAAGGGUUGCCAAAGUAGGCAUGUCCGGCCAGAUCUAGUUUCGUCCUGUGUGUGUGUGUGUGUUUGAGAAUGAGGGGAGAUCACAACUGUUGGGAGUGGGUAGAGACGGGGUUGUCGUUGGCGGCUGUAUAUUCUGGAGAAGAUGACUGUGUGUGGCGGGUUAGAGGCUGGUGGCGGAGAGGUCUAACGAUGGUUCUCUUUUUAAAAUGGGGUGGUGGAAUUGGUCGGCGGUGUGGAGCUGGGUAGUGUCCAGGCUGCUGAUGGCUUGGAGAUGUGAAGAAGGUGGGAGAUUAGGGAGGGACAGCUGGUUUCUCGUUAGGGCUUUCUAGGGUUU
rnacentral:lncRNA from 1 species